rnacentral:rRNA from 1 species
AGGACGAACGCUGGCGGCGUGCUUAACACAUGCAAGUCGAGCGGAAAGGCCCUUCGGGGUACUCGAGCGGCGAACGGGUGAGUAACACGUGAGCAAUCUGCCCUUAGCUUCGGGAUAGCCCCGGGAAACCGGGAUUAAAUACCGAAUACGACCUCGGCCGACAUCGGCUUUGGUGGAAAGUUUUUCGGCUAGGGAUGAACUCGCGGCCUAUCAGCUUGUUGGUGGGGUAAUGGCCUACCAAGGCGACGACGGGUAGCCGGCCUGAGAGGGCGACCGGCCACACUGGGACUGAGACACGGCCCAGACUCCUACGGGAGGCAGCAGUGGGGAAUAUGCGCAAUGGGCGAAAGCCUGACGCAGCGACGCCGCGUGGGGGAUGAAGGCCUUCGGGUUGUAAACCCUUUCACGCAGGGACGAAGCGAAAGUGACGGUACCUGCAGAAGAAGCGACCGGCUAACUACAUGCCAGCAGCCGC